GGUCUAGUGGCGACCGCUUCUGAUUCGUACGCAGAAAGUCCUGGGUUCAAUUCCCGGCUCGUCCC
rnacentral:tRNA from 1 species